CAAUGACGAUGAUGACAACGGUGAUUUUGAGAGGAAAGCCAAGUUCCUCACAGAGCAGAAGCCUUCCAGUAACCUCAGUGAGAGGAAUUCUGUUUCUGAGGACAAGAUGCUGGCGUACAUCCAGUUCAAACAUGUGUAACGAAUUGGAAGAACGGACAUCUGUCACCCUCAAGAACUCCAGGCAGGACUGACGAGCUGCCUGCAACCAGCAGCUGAGGCACCCCGAGACCCAGGGCUCUGCACAGUGUCUAGAGCUUCCUUCUCUACGCUGAUCGGCACCUGCCUGGCUGAGCCACGAGAGAGGCAUCUGUGAUACCUGAUGACAAUCAUCUCUGAUUAGAGUUCCGCCGCACAGCCCAGGCGAGCUGGGCCACAGCUAAUUAGCAUGUGAGGCCAGCGUGCUGUUUACUGGAACUGUACUAACAAGUUGUAGCUUUUUCCAUCACAGGAGAGCCGUUGUCAGCCAGAAACCCUUCACUCGAUCAGUUUAGGGACAGGGCGGAUACUCCUUAUGCACCACCCCCAUGACACAUUAAUGCGUUUGUGCUGAGAGUCACUUUCAGCCCGUGUUCCCACCUCUGUAAGCUGUCACUUCUAGACAUGGUAGUAAAACCUGGUGUUGUUCUAA